AUUGAACGCUGGCGGCAUGCUUUACACAUGCAAGUCGAACGGCAACGAGGAGACGCUUGCUUCUCUGUCGGCGAGUGGCGAACGGGUGAGUAUAGCAUCGGAACGUGCCAAGUAGUGGGGGAUAACCAAACGAAAGUUUGGCUAAUACCGCGUAAGCUCCAAGGAGGAAAGUAGGGGACCUAAAUAAGGCCUUACGCUAUUUGAUCGGCCGAUGUCGGAUUAGCUAGUUGGUGGGGUAAUGGCUCACCAAGGCAAUGAUCCGUAGCGGGUCUGAGAGGACGAUCCGCCACACUGGGACUGAGACACGGCCCAGACUCCUACGGGAGGCAGCAGUGGGGAAUUUUGGACAAUGGGGGAAACCCUGAUCCAGCCAUGCCGCGUGUAUGAAGAAGGCCUUAGGGUUGUAAAGUACUUUUGUUAGGGAAGAAAAGCUAGUUUUUAAUAAAAAUUAGUGAUGACGGUACCUAAAGAAUAAGCACCGGCUAACUACGUG
rnacentral:rRNA from 1 species